ACUCUGAGGUUUAGAGGACAACUAAAAAUGCAUUUAUGGCUUUCAGAACAAAUGUAAAUAGCUGUGAGAUGAAUUAUGUCAGUUUGUUGACUACUUCUUCCAAUGUAGACAUUUUAUUCCCUUGGUCAUCCCUAUAGGCAGAAGGAGAGAAAAAAGAAAUCCAUUGGAAACCUGAGAUUUGAGUUGGAACAUUUAGCUCAAAGGAUCCAUCUAGGAGAUAGACCAGGCCCUUGGCACAGCUUGGGCUCAGUCUGACCUUGAAAAUCUCUGGCUCACCAACAUCUAGCAGUAAUGAAUGGACAGAAGGCAGAGUUACCCAAGGAAGGAAACACAGCUACAAUAAACAUUGCAGGAAUGCUGAUUGUGUGACCAAUGUUGUUUACAAGGCCAACAUAUGCUGCAGUUUGUUAAACCUUUUCCUAAAGAUGAUUUAAAAACUGGUGCAGCUACUGGUUGAGCACUAAUAGCCUUUUCAAAACUGUAUCAUUCCAGGUUACGGUUGGAAAUAACUAUAUAAAAUGUAAAAUAGAUUUGAGCUCAGACAGUUUACUUAGUAGUUGGAGUCUCACACUGCUAUUUGGAGUAGGUAAGAUGCAACGAUGGAGGGCAAAAAGCAGCUUGGUUAAAAAUGUCAUAUUUUGAAGAUCAUGGAAUGUUUUUCUACGUAAACAAAGGCCAAGAGAGGGAGGAAAUAUGGCAUGCCAAAUAAUAUGUGGUAUUGAAUGUAAAUAUUUCUGUUAUAGGCCAGCGCUGAUCCAUUUGAAACUAUCCUGUAGAAAUUUCUUUUGACAUUUAACUUAUUUUUAAAAUGGUUUCUUACAAAUGUAGGAAACACAAGAAUUGGAUUGCAAAAGGAAGAAUGCAUUAGCAAUUUUGGUGCUGAACUGAUAGAGGCUACUAAGACUUUUACACCUAAGAAGACUUGGAAUUCCCUUCCUUUACUUCUCCACCUCCCGUACCUCUCUUUCCUUUUGAAUCUUUUUUUUAACACAUCUUGACAAAGCUUUGGUCAUAUGUCCUAAUAUCCUCUAACUUGACUCAGUAUUAAAUUUUGUUUUGUAAUGCUCCCAUGAAGCAACUUGGGGCACUUUACUAAGUUAAAGACACAAUAUAAAUGCAAGCUUUCACUAAAAAUAGGGCCAACAAUGAAGAAUACAGGAACGCACGCCAGGAGCAGCAAUGGCCAUACCUCAAAGUAUUGAUGCAGAUCCAUUUUAUAUGUGAGUUGCCCCAAAUCUUGCCAUAAAGUGGGAAUCAUGUGAUAUUAAUACAGAGCUUAUAGUUCAUAUUGUCUCCUUUUGUCGCUUCUUCAACUGCUCAUUCAUCUUUAUGAGCUGCGUGGAAGCAUCUUUUAA